rnacentral:lncRNA from 10 species
GUGCUUUCUGGGGUCCUUCAGCAGCAGUGCAAUGAGGAGCAUGCACAGGAGAGAUUCUAUUUUCCUUGGAUGGCUUUCUUGAGCCUUGGAAAUCUGGCUCACCAGGAAUUCUAGGCUUCUGUUGUCCCUUGCUUCCUAUCUAUCCUUCGAGUCGUAUCUCAGAAAAGAGAGAAAUGGCUUAUCCAAUAUUUAAGCAGAGACAAAUGGCAUAUGAAGAGGACUUAUCAGGGCAGUGGAGAGAAUUGGUGAUGAAAAUUGGUAGGGGACCAAAAGCACAAUGAUGCCUUUCUUUUUACUCACAUUUGAUGACAUCCAUAGUGAGAAACAGCAGUUCCACUGUCCAACACCAGGAAAUGUUCUGACUGUUUCACCGCUCCAGCUAAUACUUACAGAGGUGUGGCCUAUUCCCACUUGUAUUGGGGGCUUUAGAAUCUGACUCCUUACAUUCCUAAGAUUAAAAGACAUCUUGUGCUGUUUUAUGUUCUGAGAAGGAUUGAUUACCACAAAGACAGAUCUAUAGAGAAUGUGAGUGGAAACUAUACGAGCUGCUAACGGGACAAGGCAUUUAAGAAUCAUCCGAGUUCUGCUCUUCUUGCUGGCUGGAGCUAAGAAUUCAAGAACAAACACCAGCAAAGAGAUUCAAUACAAAUAUCCAAUUUUGAGAUAAGGGAUGGAUAACCAUAGUGCAUGCCCUCAGAACUUUUAAUCUUUAUGAAACAUUUGAAGACCUCGAGAAAGGACAAUACCCUUGGUUCUAUACAGAUGCUGUCAUGAAUUCAUCUUAUAUCAGUUUCAUAAAUCUGAGAAAACAAACUAGAGAGAAGGCAACACAUAUUUCAUUUUAGCUGUGAGCAACUUCCAUUGUGAAUCAAGGAUUCAUUCAAAAUACAUCUGGUAUGAGGUUUUGCUUUUCACAGAAUGGCAACAUCUAACCUCAUCACACAGAAUCCAUGUAGUCAAAUACCAUUGAGGAUAGUUGUGUGGUCACUAUGUUGUAAUAUCAGACAAAGAUGACAGUGAAUCUGCAAAAGAAGAAAGCAUUCUGAGAACCACUGAUUCCAGAGCAGGUGAAGGUCUUCCUCUGUGACCCGAGGUGCAGUGCAGUGGCUCUAUCACAGCUCACUGCAGCCUCAACAUCCCUGGCUCAAGCAAUCUUCUCACAUCAAACCCCUGAGUACCUGGGACCCAGGCAUAAACCAC